UGUUUCGGCUAGGGGGCCAUCCCGGCUUACCAACCCGAUGCAAACUGCGAAUACCGGAGAAUGUUAUCACGGGAGACACACGGCGGGUGCUAACGUCCGUCGUGAAGAGGGAAACAACCCAGACCGCCAGCUAAGGUCCCAAAGUCAUGGUUAAGUGGGAAACGAUGUGGGAAGGCCCAGACAGCCAGGAUGUUGGCUUAGAAGCAGCCAUCAUUUAAAGAAAGCGUAAUAGCUCACUGGUCGAGUCGGCCUGCGCGGAAGAUGUAACGGGGCUAAACCAUGCACCGAAGCUGCGGCAGCGACACUGUGUGUUGUUGGGUAGGGGAGCGUUCUGUAAGCCU
rnacentral:rRNA from 1 species